AUGCAAGAUUGCAUAGUACCUAGAUCAGUAAUUAUAUAGUUACGUUCGAUUGAAAUCGUGCAGUUUACUCCGGCCUCUAUAAAGGAGUCUGUUAAAGGACAGUUGUUAAACUUCACAAUUGUAAAAGGCCGUUGGCAGAAACAACUAAUCAGACUGCCUUUUCCGAAAAACACUCAACGUUCGCUCCACCGACGCAUUUGAAAAACUCCGUGUAGAUCAAAUCGACUGAAAACAUCAUCCGAAAAAGUGCACGCUGUGUAUCACAAUAAAGCAUUAACCCUUAGAGGCUUCGUCGCUUCGUCGAGUGACGCCGAAAAUUUUUCCAAAUGUGUCAGCGUCAGUCUGUGCGAUUCUUUAUCUUUGAUAGCGAUGAAUGUCUUAGCUGAGUCGGUUGCUCCGCGAGGUUCUCACUACGGAAAUCCGGAACGCCCUCGAGAUAUUUGAAUACCUCAUGUGGAGUGAAAGAAACCAGAUAGGGACAUGGUACAGGAUGAGGAAAGUUACAUUAUCUUCCCAUGAGUCGGUUUUUCUAAUAAGCGGACGUUUUUUACUGUGAAAAGCGUAUUUUUUCAAAUAUAUAUG